UACGAAGGGGGCUAGCGUUGCUCGGAAUCACUGGGCGUAAAGCGCACGUAGGCGGAUUGCUAAGUCAGGCGUGAAAGCCCCGGGCUCAACCUGGGAGGUGCGCUUGAUACUCGAGGGCUUGAGUGCGGGAGAGGAGAGUGGAAUUCCCAGUGUAGAGGUGAAAUUCGUAGAUAUUGGGAAGAACACCGGUGGCGAAGGCGGCUCUCUGGACCGUAACUGACGCUGAGGCGCGAAAGCGUGGGGAGCAAACAGG
rnacentral:rRNA from 1 species